GACGAACGCUGGCGGCGUGCUUAACACAUGCAAGUCGCACGAAGUGGCGAACGGGUGAGUAACGCGUAAUCAACCUGCCCUUCAGAGGGGGACAACAGAUGGAAACGACUGCUAAUACCGCAUACUGAAGGAGGGGAUUGCGUCUGAUUAGCUAGUUGGAGGUGUAACGGCCCAACAAGGCGAGGAUCAGUAGCCGGUCUGAGAGGAGGAGCGGCAACAUGGGGACUGAGAAACGGACCAGACUCCUAAGGGAGGCAGCAGUGGGGAAUCUUCCGCAAUGGAAGAAAGUCUGACGGAGCAACGCCGCGUGAGUGAUGACGGCCUGCGGGUGGUAAAGCUCUGUUAAUCGGGACGCGGUACCGGAAUAGAAAGCCACGGCUAACUACGUGCCAGCAGCCGCGGUAAUUC
rnacentral:rRNA from 1 species